rnacentral:rRNA from 1 species
GAUGAACGCUGGCGGCGUGCCUAAUACAUGCAAGUCGAGCGAACGGACGAGAAGCUUGCUUCUCUGAUGUUAGCGGCGGACGGGUGAGUAACACGUGGAUAACCUACCUAUAAGACUUGGAUAACUUCGGGAAACCGGAGCUAAUACCGGAUAAUAUUUUGAACCGCAUGGUUCAAAAGUGAAAGACGGUCUUGCUGUCACUUAUAGAUGGAUCCGCGCUGCAUUAGCUAGUUGGUAAGGUAACGGCUUACCAAGGCAACGAUGCAUAGCCGACCUGAGAGGGUGAUCGGCCACACUGGAACUGAGACACGGUCCAGACUCCUACGGGAGGCAGCAGUAGGGAAUCUUCCGCAAUGGGCGAAAGCCUGACGGAGCAACGCCGCGUGAGUGAUGAAGGCCUUCGGAUCGUAAAACUCUGUUAUUAGGGAAGAACAUAUGUGUAAGUAACUGUGCACAUCUUGACGGUACCUAAUCAGAAAGCCACGGCUAACUACGUG